rnacentral:rRNA from 1 species
UACGUAGGGUGCAAGCGUUGUCCGGAAUUAUUGGGCGUAAAGAGCUCGUAGGCGGUUUGUCGCGUCGGCUGUGAAAACCUGGGGCUCAACCCCGGGCCUGCAGCCGAUACGGGCAAACUAGAAUUCGGUAGGGGAGACUGGAAUUCCUGGUGUAGCGGUGAAAUGCGCAGAUAUCGGGAGGAACACCGGUGGCGAAGGCGGUUCUCUGGGCCUGUACUGACGCUGAGGAGCGAAAGCGUGGGGAGCGAACAGG